CGUAGUCAACUGACCUAGCCCGGAAGUGUCGGGAGCCUGGCUCCGAACUCAGCAGCGCGGACGGGUGCCAGCCAGAGGGGGAGGGCCCGGGCGCAGCGAUGGCUCCGGACCCCUGGUUGUCGAUGUACGAUUCCACCUGUCACAUUGCACAAGAGAUUGCUGAAAAAAUCCAGGAGCGUAAUCGAUGUCAAAGAAAUGGUGAAAAUUCAACGAAGCUUAAUGUGACAAUCCGAUCAUUGUUGCAGAAUCUAAAGGUAAAGAUCGACCAGCUGAAGGACUUACUGCUUCGAGCUAUAUCAACACGUCAGAUAACACAAUUGGAGGGAGACAGAAGGCAAAACUUAGUGGAUGACCUUCUCACGCGGCAGAGACAACUUGAAGCAUCCUAUAAAAAUGAUGGCACAGAACCAGAUGUGAUAAGAUCUAACCUAAUGACUGGAGGGGUGAAACGAGGUGUAACCAACCCAUGGCUUCUGGAAGAGACAGAGGAAACCAGCGGGCUUAACUUUGGUGAGAUCAGACAGCAGCAGCAGAGGAUCAUACAAGAGCAAGAUGCUGGGCUUGAUGCUCUCUCCUCAGUCUUAUCGAGGCAAAAACAAAUGGGGCAGGAAAUCGGGAAUGAGCUGGAGGAACAGAAUGAGAUCAUCGAUGACCUCACCAAUUUGGUAGCAAAUACGGAUGACAAACUGCGCAGUCAAACCCGUCAUGUGAAGAUGGUGGACAAAAAGUCAACUUCAUGUGCCCCAUGGAUUUGGUGAGCAAGAAUGGUGACAGGAUGGAACUGUGCACUGAAAAUGCGUGAGAGCUGCUGAGCAGGAGGACAGGAAUGUUGGUGGUGAUUGUGUUGUUGCUGAUUGCAAUUGCUGUGGUUGCCGUCUGGCCAACACACUAACGCAAGUGCGGGAACCAUCAGAGAUGCCACUUAGCAGCAGCAGCAGCAGAGCUGGACAAUAUCAGAGGAUGCGAACAACUCCAUUGCAAACACAUUUUGUGUGUUAAGUAAACUCAGUAUUAGAAUGAAGAUGUUGCUGCACGCAAUGCACAGCCAAAGGGCUGUGGCUAGUUUGGAGCAUUUGAACUUCAAAAGGACUCUUUUCCUUCCUUGAUUUUGUACUUCAGAGGGACACAACUGGCGUAGAUGCAUCUUUUAAGAGAUUUACCCUUCAGUGCAACUGACUCUAAGCAAGCAAUCUGCCCCUUUUGUUGAGAGUUCAGUCAUCCUGAGGGUUUAAUGUACUGUAUACUGCUCCUACAUAGUUUGUGUGGUAUAUGUGUUGAGUUCCUCCUCUCUUGCUAAAUGAUGAUCUUUUGAACCAAGAUUUUGCAUCUUAUAAAGAAGUGAGUGUUGUAAGGAGCUAAUUGAUGCUGAGUUUCAAUGAAGUUGGAGGGUCAGAGAGCAGGCACAGCUUGAGACUGAAAAGCCUGGUGAUGAGGGUAGAACAGAAUAUAGGGACUCAGGGGCACCUUACAAACAUAAGUAUGAGGCAGUCUUUGGCGGUUGUGAGAGAAUUACCAGUGCUGAGCUGCACAGAUCGAAAUGCAAACAACAGUGGAGCUUUCCAACAUUUAACACAACCAGGUGUAGAACAGCGGAAAGCUCUGCCCAACGUGUGCUCGUAAGGGGGGAAAGUGUCUUUCUGCUAACUGUACUGUGGAGUAUGUUUACCCCAACUGACUAACUGCAGAAGUCCUGAUACAGUGAAUAGACUAGUCUCAAGACCAGAGAUGUGCACAGCUUUUUUUAUCAUUUUUCAUAACUGUUCAAACUGCAAAGGAAAAUAUUACGAGUAUUAAAAAAAAAAAAUGAAAAAAGAAUGUAAUGCUCAUUGCUGUCCCCAAAAUCAUUAUUUUGUUAUGUGCCAACUUAAUUGUCAGACCUGAUAGAUCAAUAAUAACACUGAAUAAAAGCUGAUCCAUUUA